GAUGAACGCUGGCGGCGUGCUUAACACAUCCAAGUCGAACGGAAAGGCCAGUGCUUGCACUGGUACUCGAGUGGCGAACGGGUGAGUAACACGUGGGUGAUCUGCCCUGUACUUCGGGAUAAGCUUGGGAAACUGGGUCUAAUACCGGAUAGGACAACUUUUUGGAUAUUGUUGUGGAAAGCUUUUGCGGUAUGGGAUGAGCUCGCGGCCUAUCAGCUUGUUGGUGGGGUAAUGGCCUACCAAGGCGUCGACGGGUAGCCGGCCUGAGAGGGUGUACGGCCACAUUUGGACUGAGAUACGGCCCAGACUCCUACGGGAGGCAGCAGUGGGGAAUAUUGCACAAUGGGCGCAAGCCUGAUGCAGCGACGCCGCGUGGGGGAUGAAGGCCUUCGGGUUGUAAACUCCUUUCGCUAGGGACGAAGCUUUUUUGUGACGGUACCUGGAGAAGAAGCACCGGCUAACUACGUG
rnacentral:rRNA from 1 species